GUGCUCGCUUCGGCAGCACAUACACUAAAAUUGGAACAAUACAGAUAAGAUUAGCAUGGCCCCUGUGCAAGGAUGACAUGCAAAUUUGUAAAGCAUUCCAUAUUAAA